UUUAGUGGCGGACGGGUGAGUAACGCGUGGGUAACCUGCCAUAUACUGGGGGAUAACACUUAGAAAUAGGUGCUAAUACCGCAUAAGCGCACGGUCCCGCAUGGGACAGUGUGAAAAACUCCGGUGGUAUAUGAUGGACCCGCGUCUGAUUAGCUGGUUGGCGGGGUAACGGCCCACCAAGGCGACGAUCAGUAGCCGGCCUGAGAGGGUGGACGGCCACAUUGGGACUGAGACACGGCCCAAACUCCUACGGGAGGCAGCAGUGGGGGAUAUUGGACAAUGGGGGGAACCCUGAUCCAGCGACGCCGCGUGAGUGAAGAAGUAUCUCGGUAUGUAAAGCUCUAUCAGCAGGGAAGAAAGAAAUGACGGUACCUGAGUAAGAAGCCCCGGCUAACUACGUGCCAGCAGCCGCGGUAAUACGUAGGGGGCAAGCGUUAUCCGGAAUUACUGGGUGUAAAGGGAGCGUAGACGGUGAUGUAAGUCUGGAGUGAAAGGCGGGGGCCCAACCCCCGGACUGCUCUGGAAACUAUAUGACUGGAGUGCAGGAGAGGUAAGCGGAAUUCCUAGUGUAGCGGUGAAAUGCGUAGAUAUUAGGAGGAACACCAGUGGCGAAGGCGGCUUACUGGACUG
rnacentral:rRNA from 1 species